rfam:Prunus persica cultivar Lovell chromosome G4, whole genome shotgun sequence.
UGAAGAAACAUCAUUGAGUGCAGCGUUGAUGAAUUGAAAUUCUUUCGAAAUUUCAUCAGCGCUGCACCCAAUUAUGUUUCUA